rnacentral:rRNA from 1 species
UACGUAGGGGGCAAGCGUUGUCCGGAUUUAUUGGGCGUAAAGAGCGUGUAGGCGGCCUGAAAGGUCAGCUGUGAAAACUCGAGGCUCAACCUCGAGACGUCGGUUGAAACCAUCUGGCUAGAGUCCGGAAGAGGAGUGUGGAAUUCCCGGUGUAGCGGUGAAAUGCGCAGAUAUCGGGAAGAACACCAGUGGCGAAGGCGGCUUACUGGUCCAUAACUGACGCUGAGGUGGCGAAAGCGUGGGGAGCAAACAGGG